GACAGAGGGUGCAAACGUUGUUCGGAAUUACUGGGCGUAAAGCGCGUGUAGGCUGUCUCGAAAGUCGGAUGUGAAAGCCCUGGGCUCAACCUAGGAAGUGCAUUCGAAACUUCGAGACUCGAGUCUUGGAGAGGAUCGCGGAAUUCUCGGUGUAGAGGUGAAAUUCGUAGAUAUCGAGAGGAACACCGGUGGCGAAGGCGGCGAUCUGGACAAUGACUGACGCUGAGACGCGAAAAGCGUGGGGGAGCAAACAGGG
rnacentral:rRNA from 1 species